AUACUUUGGGCUGGCUUCAGCAGUAUAUAUACUAAAAUUGGAAUGAUGCAGAGCACAUUAGUACAGCCCCUGCACAAGGAUGACAUGUAAAUCCAUAUUUUU
rnacentral:snRNA from 1 species